rnacentral:rRNA from 1 species
AGAGUUUGAUCAUGGCUCAGAUUGAACGCUGGCGGCAGGCCUAACACAUGCAAGUCGAGCGGUAACAGGGGUAGCUUGCUACUCGCUGACGAGCGGCGGACGGGUGAGUAAUGCAUAGGAAUCUGCCCGAUAGUGGGGGAUAACCUGGGGAAACCCAGGCUAAUACCGCAUACGUCCUACGGGAGAAAGGGGGCUUUGGCUCCCGCUAUUGGAUGAGCCUAUGUCGGAUUAGCUAGUUGGUAAGGUAAUGGCUUACCAAGGCAACGAUCCGUAGCUGGUCUGAGAGGAUGAUCAGCCACAUCGGGACUGAGACACGGCCCGAACUCCUACGGGAGGCAGCAGUGGGGAAUAUUGGACAAUGGGGGCAACCCUGAUCCAGCCAUGCCGCGUGUGUGAAGAAGGCCCUCGGGUUGUAAAGCACUUUCAGCGAGGAAGAACGCCUGUCGGUUAAUACCCGGUAGGAAAGACAUCACUCGCAGAAGAAGCACCGGCUAACUCCGUGCCAGCAGCCGCGGUAAUACGGAGGGUGCAAGCGUUAAUCGGAAUUACUGGGCGUAAAGCGCGCGUAGGUGGCUUGAUAAGCCGGUUGUGAAAGCCCCGGGCUCAACCUGGGAACGGCAUCCGGAACUGUCAGGCUAGAGUGCAGGAGAGGAAGGUAGAAUUCCCGGUGUAGCGGUGAAAUGCGUAGAGAUCGGGAGGAAUACCAGUGGCGAAGGCGGCCUUCUGGACUGACACUGACACUGAGGUGCGAAAGCGUGGGUAGCAAACAGGAUUAGAUACCCUGGUAGUCCACGCCGUAAACGAUGUCGACCAGCCGUUGGGUGCCUAGAGCACUUUGUGGCGAAGUUAACGCGAUAAGUCGACCGCCUGGGGAGUACGGCCGCAAGGUUAAAACUCAAAUGAAUUGACGGGGGCCCGCACAAGCGGUGGAGCAUGUGGUUUAAUUCGAUGCAACGCGAAGAACCUUACCUAC